GAAGAAACAGUAUGACGUAAUGUGUGUAUACAUUCAAGGUGACAGGAUAAAAGCGCGACCUCGUUUCAAGAUUGUUGUGUGUUGAGUUUUCAUGAAUUCCGAAGCGCCCGUGGGAUCGAUCGAAACGUACGGCACAAGGAUUUAGACUUACUUGACGGUGAGCUGUCUUUGAAUGAGGAGCUUCUUCUCGAUCUGCUCGAUCGGGAAUUGUGGUACUUCGUAAGGCGCUGAGAUUUCAUUUGGUAACUCUUGUGGAGCAAGUCUCAAGGAAGUACCACCACUUGUUCCACCACCUUCGAGGCCAUAGACCGGACUUUCGCUACCUGUAAGAAAAAAAUCUUUUAAACAUUCUACUAGAUAUAAAUAGAAUAUAUAAUUUGUAUGUGAAAACGAAAGCAAAAGGAAAUAUCGUUUGAGAGUUA